UUUUUUUUCCUUUAAUAAGUUAUCUAUAUUGUUUAAAAAGUUAUUUAAUAAUUAUAUAAGGAUAAUAUGUUUCACGCUGUUUUAUUUUUUUUCAGGAAUGACAUGAAUAUUGCGUGAGAAAGUAUGUUGAAAAAAUAUUCCGUUUAUUUCCGUACGUAAUAUUACGUUCUGCAUAUUGCAAUGAGUCGGUUACGAUAUAUUUCUGCACUCCAUCGGAGAACGCAGAAGCAUAUUCUUAUAUACUUUUUUCUUAACUCUAUUUUAUCUAAUAGCGUUAGAUAGACUUCAAUACCAAACUAAGUCCUACUAAAUUCUAAAUAUUUUUUUAUUUAAAUAUAUAGAAAACACAAUCUGUUUUUCGUUGGAUGAUGAACAAAAUGUGUUUUAAUUUAUAUAUUUUUAAAUUUUUUUUUUUGGUAAGAUAGUAUAUUUUACCUUGAAAAUAGUUUAUUUUAUUAUGUUGGAAACGUAAUGGAUUUGAUA
rnacentral:lncRNA from 1 species